UGUAACCACAGCCCUGAAGAACCAGAAAAUUCCCAUCCCAACCACAACUACCUGCAACAACAGUGGCUUCACCUCCAAUGGGAUUAAGUCUUCCACAAUAACAACAGGAAUCAUGAUAAGCACUCUCACUUGGGUCACCAACUCAACUGCAGAUGACAAUAUGAAGUUCUCAGUGCACAUCGCCUUUAUUGUCCUUCUGGGGAUAGCUGGAUUACUGUUGCUACUGGUAAUGGUUGGUGUGGUUACCCGGAUAUUCUACAAGGCUAGUGGUAAGUUUUGUUGUAUUUCUUCUUCCAAAACAAAUCCCAGAACACAAAAUUCUUUGCGUUGUCCACACACAUCACAGAUGACAA